GAUGAACGCUGGCGGCGUGCCUAAUACAUGCAAGUCGAGCGAACAGACGAGGAGCUUGCUCCUCUGACGUUAGCGGCGGACGGGUGAGUAACACGUGGAUAACCUACCUAUAAGACUGGGAUAACUUCGGGAAACCGGAGCUAAUACCGGAUAAUAUAUUGAACCGCAUGGUUCAAUAGUGAAAGACGGUUUUGCUGUCACUUAUAGAUGGAUCCGCGCCGCAUUAGCUAGUUGGUAAGGUAACGGCUUACCAAGGCAACGAUGCGUAGCCGACCUGAGAGGGGGGACGGCCACACUGGAACUGAGACACGGUCCAGACUCCUACGGGAGGCAGCAGUAGGGAAUCUUCCGCAAUGGGCGAAAGCCUGACGGAGCAACGCCGCGUGAGUGAUGAAGGUCUUCGGAUCGUAAAACUCUGUUAUUAGGGAAGAACAAAUGUGUAAGUAACUAUGCACGUCUUGACGGUACCUAAUCAGAAAGCCACGGCUAACUACGUG
rnacentral:rRNA from 1 species